AUGGAAACUACAGCUCAACUUGGAGCACGGAUCGGGGCCAAAACAUGGAGCAUCAAAGAACUCUGCACAGCGCAUGAAAAAUACGGACCGGAUUCGUUUUUAGUCCUUUCCAUCUUAAAUCGGUGUCUGGGCCCUCACUCUGGUAAGCGUAACCCUCGGACAGGACCUAUUAGAGGGCCAUAUGUUUUCAACACCAACGGAACUCACAAUGUCAGGAGGUAUGUGUUGGGGCAAACUGCUGAACCCUAACAGUUCAGACUAGGACUACAAUUCGUGUGUUUGUCCCCUACAGAAAAGGGACAUGUUGCCAAUUUGAGCCAGAAAAAUAUUUAAAAUCACAUGGUGCUUUGUUAUUUUCUCUCCUGCACAGUGUGCUCUUUGACCGAGCUAGAGCUGCCCGAACGUUGUCAUGGAUAACUUGGUGGGCUCCCUCCCUGUCUUGACCUGCGGGGUGUCCUGCAGAUUGAGCCUCGCCCCCCCGUCGUGAGACGGAGCGGCCUUUAAAAUUGACCCCCGUUGAGGUGGGGGCCCCUCUUGUCUCGUCUGAACUCCCCCUGAAAUGAGCGCGCGCCUGGAGACCGCUUUUUAAAGCGCUUGUGGCGUCCCAGAGAGAGGCCGCUGGCACACAGGGGUAAAAUCUCUCCGCAGUGGUCCCUUAUUCUCAGAUAAAUACAAAGGAGGAAAAUAGCCCACAUUACAAGCUCCUUAAGGGUCAAGGACAGCUGAGAGAUGAAUGGUUUCUAAAAGUAGUAUUGUUGAAUCACAUAGCACGCGAUUACACCCUCUGUCAUCGUUCAGAUUUGGUUUUAUAGAGCAUCAACCAGCUUUGAAUAAGGCAAAAAGACAUGUGGCUGAUAUUAAUUAAGACAAUCUCUGGUCUAGCAGUAACAGCGCAGGGACAUAUGAAUAUCCUGCUUGCCAUUUUGAUUCCCCACACUGGGCCAGUAGAACCAUUAGGCAAAUCUAAAAGGGCUGUGGAAGUAUUAGGAGAAGGGACAUGUAAUAUAGUUGAAUAAUAAUGCUGUUCUGUUUAACUGGAUUUUGUGUUAGAAAACCAGUUUAGCAUAUUUGAUUUGGGGAGGUCAACAUAGUUCAUGUAGGCCUAAAUUGAUUUAGAUCAGCAUGUGAAAUGUGACUGCAAUGCGCAUUUUAUUGACUCACAUUACAAUGUAGACAUCACUGUGUUGUUGCUUGAUUUGAAAUGCUGUUUGAUUAUUGGUAACACAGUUAAUGAUGACACAUGAAAACUGACAAGGAUGUGAAGGAGCACACCAAUACACCUGUCACACAAACCAUAGACAACACAGUUGAUGGAAACAGCAGUCAGUUCCUUGUCUGUCCCUCUCUCAUUGCCUCUCCAUCUUAAAUACAUGUAUAUUCUUGGUGUAGUAGGACUAGCCUCAGAAAGCCCUGUUAAACACUCCCUCACUGUACUGUCACAAGCCUGGAGAGUUCAUGUUAUAUUUAUGUUGCCUACAGCGGAUUCUCUCUGUUCUGUUCAGCUGAACUCUUGCCAGCUCUGCUAGCGCCCCCCCCCCCCCCCCCCCCCCCACCCCACUUCCACAGACAAUGUUACAUCUCAUUGGUUUUGCCCUAGAUAAGCUAUUUUUAAAGGAAAUAAUUAGACAUAACUGAUUUAAAUACUGCAAAGCCACACUCUUUUUGUCUCGUAAGCGUGGUGUCUGUGUGUGGAUAGUGAGCAAAAAGGUGAGAGCAGAGGAAUCAUUUUGCCUCUGGUAUCUUUUUUAAUAAAUAUGCAUGGGGGAAAUACACAUUUGACCAAUAUUUAACUGUAUAUUCUUUUGUCAAUGAAGAUUAAUCCAUUUCCUCUGACUGUGUUAAACUCCAGCCAAAUGUGCAUGGAGGAAUUCUUUGUUCUACUGUUGCUCAGGUUCCCCACCACAGUUUGGGGUUUUGCAGCACAGUGAUUUCAGAUGCUCUACACAUGAACAGGCCUCCAUGGACCAGAGAACAAUAAUGAUGAUGAGGGGAGAUUGGAGGAGGGUGCUGGUUGUUGGGAUAUUCAUGUAUCCAUGUACAGAGGGGUCUGAAAUUGACACCCUUGAUAAAGAUGAGCAAUAAUGACUGUGUAAAAUAAAUUAUUCAAAUACAGAGCAAUAUUGUAUGCUCAAAAAAUGGAGAAAAUAUAUUAUUUUCUACUAAUACAAUUGCUCAGAGAAAUAGAUUUUGUUUAACAAGUAAUACUAUUUCUUAAAAAGGUAGGGAUCAAAAUUAUUGACACCCCUAAAGAUUCUUAGAAAUAAAGUUGUCAAAAGUUUAGUAAUCAGUCCCAUAUUCCUAGCACACAUUGACUACAUCAAGCUUAUGACUAUACAAACUUGUUGGAUGCAUUUUCAGUUAGUUUUGGUUGUGUUUCAGGUUAUUUUCGCCCAAUAGAAAUGGAUAAUAAUGUAUUGGGUCAUUGGGGAGUAACUUUUAUUGUAAAUAAGAAUAGAAUGUGUUUCUAAACAGUUUUACAUUAAUGUGGAUGCUACCAUGAUUAUGGAUCAUCCUGAAUGAAUCGUGAAUAAUGAUGAUAGAGAAAAUUACAUAGGAUCAAAGAUCAUAGCCCCAAGACAUGCUAACCUCCCCUGUUAUUGGUAAUGGUGAGAGGUUAUCACCAUUACCAAUAACAGACUACUAUAUUUAUAAGAAUCUAUAGGGGUGUCAAUGAUUUUGACCCAUAUUUCUUUACGAAAAAUAAUCUUCCACUUAUCAAUUAUAUUAGAAUAAAAUAAUAUUUCCCCAUUUGUUGUUAUAUAGCUCAGUAUUUGAAUUAUAUAUUGUAUACAUUCAUUAUUGAUCAUGUUUAUCAAGGGUUUCAAUAAUUUCGGACCCCACUGUACAUCAAUUAUGUUUUCCGUUUGUUAAGUUAACUUUUUCCUCAUAUUUCCUCCCCACCUAGAAUAUGCCACUCAAAUCAUGACUUUUGUGUGAAUGCACAUUCAAUGGGAUUUCUGCCCAUACUGUGUUAUGUGUGUUUUUGGCAGUGAAAGGGGGAAGAGGAGGCAAAGGCAAGGAUGACGGCAUUCCAGCGAAAAAGCUUUUCUGGUGAGCUGCAACAAUGCACUCACUCCCACGACAUCAGCUCUCUGUAGGGAGUCUCC
ensembl:lncRNA